rnacentral:hammerhead_ribozyme from 1 species
AUCCAGCUGACGAGUCCCAAAUAGGACGAAACGUGCAUCAAUCUGGAU